UACGUAGGGGGCAAGCGUUGUCCGGAAUCAUUGGGCGUAAAGAGCGUGUAGGCGGCCAGAUAGGUCCGUUGUGAAAACUGGAGGCUCAACCUCCAGCUGUCGAUGGAAACCAUCUGGCUAGAGUCCGGAAGAGGAGAGUGGAAUUCCUGGUGUAGCGGUGAAAUGCGCAGAUAUCAGGAAGAACACCCGUGGCGAAGGCGGCUCUCUGGGACGGUACUGACGCUGAGACGCGAAAGCGUGGGGAUCAAACAGG
rnacentral:rRNA from 1 species